UACGUAGGGGCCUAGCGUUGUCCGGAAUUAUUGGGCGUAAAGAGCUCGUAGGCGGUUCGGCAAGUCGGAUGUGAAAUCUCCACGCUUAACGUGGAGGGGCCAUUCGAAACUGCUGUGACUCGAGUCCGGUAGGGGAGUGUGGAAUUCCCGGUGUAGCGGUGAAAUGCGUAGAGAUCAGGAAGAACACCGGUGGCGAAAGCGCUCUGCUAGGCCGCAACUGACACUCAUGGACGAAAGCUAGGGGAGCGAAUGGG
rnacentral:rRNA from 1 species